rnacentral:rRNA from 1 species
UACAGAGGGGGCAAGCGUUGUUCGGAAUUACUGGGCGUAAAGGGCGCGUAGGCGGCCUUCUAAGUCAGACGUGAAAUCCCCCGGCUUAACCUGGGAACUGCGUCUGAUACUGGAGGGCUUGAGUGCGGGAGAGGGAUGUGGAAUUCCAGGUGUAGCGGUGAAAUGCGUAGAUAUCUGGAGGAACACCGGUGGCGAAGGCGGCAUCCUGGACCGACACUGACGCUGAGGCGCGAAAGCUAGGGUAGCAAACAGG